UACAGAGGUCCCAAGCGUUGUUCGGAUUCAUUGGGCGUAAAGGGUGCGUAGGUGGCGCCGUAAGUGGGGUGUGAAAUUUCGGAGCUUAACUCCGAAACUGCAUUCCAUACUGCGGUGCUUGAGGACUGGAGAGGAGACUGGAAUUCAUGGUGUAGCAGUGAAAUGCGUAGAGAUCAUGAGGAAGACCAGUGGCGAAGGCGGGUCUCUGGACAGUUCCUGACACUGAGGCACGAAGGCCAGGGGAGCAAACAGG
rnacentral:rRNA from 1 species